CUGAUCAAUAGGUGCUCCAGAAGUGGGAGGACCUCGGUGAGAGCUCAGGUUUGUCUUCCCUGACAUGCUGUGUUGGAAAUCCAUCUUCCCGCCGUAUUAAAGGAUUCCAAAUGUUUCUUCUUGUACUUGCGAACUCCAUCAUCUUUGGCAGAACAGAACCAGCACCUUUUCCAUGGAACUGGGUAGAUAACAGCUCCAUGGUGGCUCCUGCUUCUGCCUCUUGAGUGCUGGGAUUAAAGGAAGACCUUCCCACUGCAGAUGGCACCAUUCUUUGGAUGGGAUCCUCCACUGCAUAAUGGAGAAAGGGGAACUGAGCAACAGCAUGCAUUUGAUUCUCUAUGCCUCCUGAUUGCAGAUGUGAUAAGUUCCUGUCUUAUCCUUGAGGAUACCUUGACUUCCCUACCUUGAGGAUACAUCUUGUACCUUGACUUCCCUACCAUGAUAGACUGUACCUUGGAAUUGUGAGAAUAAACCCUUUCUCCCUUAA